UACGUAGGGUGCAAGCGUUGUCCGGAAUUAUUGGGCGUAAAGAGCUCGUAGGCGGUUUGUCGCGUCUGCUGUGAAAACGCGAGGCUCAACCUCGCGCCUGCAGUGGGUACGGGCAGACUAGAGUGCGGUAGGGGAAUUGGAAUUCCUGGUGUAGCGGUGGAAUGCGCAGAUAUCAGGAGGAACACCGAUGGCGAAGGCAGGUCUCUGGGCGAUUAACUGA
rnacentral:rRNA from 1 species